CUUUACUGUAGCCUGGUAUUGGGUUCGGGCUUUGACUGCGCAGGAUAGGUGGGAGACUAUGAAGCUGCCCUUGUGGGGGCAGUGGAGUCAUCAGUGAGAUACCACUCUGUCAAGGCUAGAAUUCUAACCGUCUGCCGUUCUCCGGCGACGGAACAGUAUCAGGUGGGCAGUUUGACUGGGGCGGUCGCCUCCUAAAUGGUAACGGAGGCGCGCAAAGGUUCCCUCAGGCUGGUUGGAAAUCAGCCGAAGAGUGUAAAGGCAGAAGGGAGCUUGACUGCAAGAGCAACAACUCAAGCAGGGACGAAAGUCGGCCUUAGUGAUCCGACGGCGCUGAGUGGAAGGGCCGUCGCUCAACGGAUAAAAGUUA
rnacentral:rRNA from 1 species